rnacentral:rRNA from 1 species
AACGAACGCUGGCGGCGUGGAUAAGACAUGCAAGUCGAACGGGACAGGUAGCAAUAUCUGUCUAGUGGCGAACGGGUGCGUAACACGUGGGCAACAUGCCUGGAAGAGCGGGAUAGCCCGGGGAAACUCGGAUUAAUACCGCAUGUGACAACGGGGCGGCUUCGCCCUGUUUUCAAAGGUGGGGACCGCAAGGCCUGCCGCUUCCAGAUUGGCCCGCGGCCUAUCAGCUAGUUGGCGGGGUAAAAGCCCACCAAGGCGACGACGGGUAGCUGGUCUGAGAGGACGACCAGCCACACUGGAACUGAGACACGGUCCAGACACCUACGGGUGGCAGCAGUCGAGAAUCUUUCACAAUGGGGGAAACCCUGAUGGAGCGACGCCGCGUGGAGGAUGACGGUCUUCGGAUUGUAAACUCCUGUCAUGAAAGAACAAGCGGAGCGGGUGAACAGCCCGCCGAGUUGAUAGUAUUUCAAGAGGAAGGGACGGCUAACUUCGUGCCAGCAGCCGCCGUAAAAC